GAUGAACGCUGGCGGCGUGCCUAAUACAUGCAAGUCGAGCGAACAGACGAGGAGCUUGCUCCUCUGACGUUAGCGGCGGACGGGUGAGUAACACGUGGAUAACCUACCUAUAAGACUGGGAUAACUUCGGGAAACCGGAGCUAAUACCGGAUAAUAUAUUGAACCGCAUGGUUCAAUAGUGAAAGACGGUUUUGCUGUCACUUAUAGAUGUAUCCGCGCCGCAUUAGCUAGUUGGUAAGGUAACGGCUUACCAAGGCAACGAUGCGUAGCCGACCUGAGAGAGUGAUAGGCCACACUGGAACUGGAACACGGUCCAGACUCCUACGGGAGGGAGCAGUAGGGAAUCUUCCGCAAUGGGCGAAAGCUUGACGGAGCAACGCCGCGUGAGUGAUGAAGGUCUUCGGAUCGUAAAACUCUGUUAUUAGGGAAGAACAAAUGUGUAAGUAACUAUGCACGUCUUGACGGUACCUAAUCAGAAAGCCACGGCUAACUACGUG
rnacentral:rRNA from 1 species